AUGUUAGUGAAGUCAGGCUGACUCAUCAAACUAGGAACAUUUCAGGCUGAUCUUGAGUUAUAUAUAACAGUGUUUUUAGUACAUGAGUUUAUUUGACCAUUAGACUGACCCUGAAGCCUUCGGGAGUAAAUAUGUACCUAUGGUGGCAAUGGGUCUUGUUCCGUCAAAUCCAACUCAACCAUCAAGACUAAUUGGCAUGACCUAUACCCAACUUGACCCACUAACAGGUCAGUCGUGCCCAACUCAAUCUUGCUAUUGAGACGAGAGCUGACCAUGACCAACCAAGUUUGACAGGGAAGGGAGUAAAGGAGGAAGAAGAGGAAGAUAGAUGAGGAAGUGACUGAAAGUUAGUGGAGUGUGGUGAUCUCAAGCUGGUGGAGAUGAGACGAUGGUAAGGAGAUGGCAAGUGAGGGAGAGGAGUUGUGGAGUAUUCAGAGUAGAGAAGGAGCUAGGUGGUAGAGUACUAUAUGCUUACAGGUAUCAUGAUUAAUGAGUCAAAAACUUCAAAAAUUGCCAGCUUAGUAACCAAGAUCAAACAUAGUAGGAAAGAUGGAACUUGAUGGUUGGAUGGAGGACAAGGAAUUAUUUGGAUUAAGGCUUUCAAUGAGUAUAAUGAGAAAGUUCCAAAACAUUCUGAAAUAGGCAAGGCUUAGCCUAGCUGCAGACCUUGAUAUGGACAUUUGGCUAGUCUGGGGCUAGCAUAUUUUGUCUGUCUCAAGCUUUGCUUCCUUCAUCUCUUGCACCCUUCCUUCUCCAUUCCAUCCUUUGUUUUCUUCUCUCAUCGUUGUUGUUUUUUGUACUACUACUACUACUCUUUUUCUUUGAACAAUCUCCUUUUCCUUUUAUUUUCUUUUCCCCUUUAAUCUCCUUAAGGUUAUGUAGAACUCAUAUCACAAUAGAGGUGUUAAGGAAUUAGCAACAAAAGACAAGUCUGCCAAUCACUUUCCAAGUCCUAAACCUAGAAGUUUGGCUUCCUAAUUAUUACUUCUUUUUUACUCUUAAUAGCCGCAAUCCUAAAUUAUAACCAUUCCAUCCUAAGAAACCUUAAUCAGAUAACUGUUUAUCUGGCCUUUUAUUACUGGAAUUUUGUAUGUUCUUGGAUUUCAGAUGAUUAUCUAAUUUGAUAACUGUUUUCCAAUAAAUCAAUAUUUGCCAUUUGAGAUACUAGUCGCUGCUUUUUCUUUGGUCCUAUUCAUGAGCAACAAGGUAAUAUGAUGUAUUCCACAUAACUGUGAAUUAGGACUGGCAAAAUAUGACCCGACCCACCAAUCCGACCCGUGUUCGACCCGCCAUAAAUAGGUUUGGAUUUAGGUUAAACGGAAUUGGGUCAUCAACGGGUCAACCCAUUUAACCCAUUUAAUAAGCGGGUCGGAUUUAGGUUUUAAAUAUCUGACCUGUUUAAUCUGUUUAACUCGUUUAAUAUUCAUGUCGGAUUGAAUCAGAUAAUCCAUUUAACCUGUUAACCUAUUUCUGACCUAUUUAAUCCGACCUGUUUAACCUGUUUAACCCAUUUAAGAUCCGUUUAACCUGUUUAAAAUCUGUUUAACCUAUUUCUGACCCAUUUAAUCCGACCUGUUUAACCUAAUUUGACCUAUUUAAUAAACGGGUUAAAUGGGUCGGGUUAUCUAUUUAAUAAACAGGUUGGGUUCAGGUUUGAAUUUUUGACCCGUUUAAUAAAUAGGUCGGAUUUGGAUUGACGAUUUUCUGAUCUGAUCCGUUUAUGACCUGACCCGUUUGUGAUCCGAUCCGACCCGAUUGCCACACUCCCUGUGAAUAACAAGGAGUCGUGAAAGAGCCUUCAUGAUUACCUGAUUUGAGCGCAUCCCACUCUAUAAAUAGGAUAAUACACUUGGUCAAAAAAUAGAUGAACUGCAACAAUGGUGUUGUUUUGGUAACAAUUUACCAUGAAGCACUUUAUCAAACAUGUCUCUCCAAGCUGUAUCACAAUAGUGACUGGUUGGUAGCAUAUCCUUCUGGCCUCCUCUCUCCCAUGACUCCAUGCAGCAAUUGAAGGCAAAAUCCUUUGAUAGUGUAAAGAAGCUUUGUGAUUGAGUUGCUUGAGUUUCCAUGCAUAUUACAUAGUACAAACUUGAGACAACUGAAUAUUCAAUCAAUCCUACAUGAUAAGCAUGAAAAUGCACUUGAUCAUCAUCAAUAACUCUGAAACAUGGAGACCAGACGUCAUUUGCAAAAUUGAUCGAAUCAACAGAUUACUAAUUUCAAAAAGAACAAAUAAGACAAAAGACUUUGGACGAACAAGAUUACUUCAUUUGCACCUCAAGGAAGAAUCAACUUUUAUGGAAUUGGCUCGCAUACAUGCUAGAGGAUGAAUUGUAGAACUAUGCUGCAAGAGCUGAGCAAAUAUAGAAAAAGUUAUGGUUUUAUCAUUGAUGAUCUGUUGUUGGUACUGAAUAAGGUUUGUUUCAAUGUGAUUGUUAAAAAUAAGAGGAGAUCAAGCCUCACACAGGUAUGGCAAUGUUGAUUUUUUACCGAAAGACUGUUAUUGGUGCAGGUAAUUUGAGAAAGAAGUAAAGUUAAGGUAUUGUUAAAAAAUGGUUUUCAAAAUUACUUGUUCUUCCUGCAAGAUUCACAAAUUGUUCUUAAAAAGAAAUCCCUUGUAUUCUUGGAGACCCUUUCUAAGGUGUUGGUCGAGGUAGUUCGAGUCCAAAAAGAAAUCUUGACUCUCAUAAGAAGAGUCUCAAAACUUUUGUGGCUAGCCCCUGGUUUCCUCCUUAAUGAUCACAUACCGAUUGGAGAGGGCAAGUGGACCAUUCUAAAGAUUAUUAAAAUUACAAAUUGGCUAGAUCACCUAUAAAUCUAUGUCAAUGCCCUUAAAAAGCACCCAACUUAUAAGCAACCUAAAGAUAGCUACUUUGAUGGUAACCACAUAGCUGAAACAUUUUUGUAGAAAAAUAAAUGUGAUUUGUGCUGAAAGCUCUGCACUUUAAUUUAAAAUACCAUGGUAUUAGUUAGCAUAAAUGAUUCUAAGAGAUGAAAACUUUCAUCUAUGGGUAUGUUUUGACAGGUUGGUUUAUGAUAAUUGAUCUCUUUCUCACUCUUUAUGCAUGCAUGUCUAUCUAUCUGUCAUCACAUAACCAUUGUAAAUUUUCAUAAUAGGGGUAUGACAUAGUCAACAUAAUUUUGAGGACAAACUAAAUGUGGGAUAGUCAAGAGGGAAGGGGUGAGGGUGGGUGGAAAGAGGCAUUGUGAUUAUAAGAACUUAGAGAUGUAGUAUAGUUUUUUGAAGUCAUGCUGACAUAUAGAGGACUGCCUUGGUGCAAUGGUAAGGUUGCUUAAUUGUGGCAUGGGCAUUAUGGGCUCAAAAUACAAAAAUAGCCUCUCCACAUGUUGGGAUAGGGUUGCAUACACUUGGCCCUCCCUAGACCUUGCAGUGGUGAGCCUCAUGCAGUGGGGGAGGCACCGACAAUAUCUGCUUUUCUGUAGUGAAGCUAGAGUAUGAUCAAUGAUAAUUGGCACCCAAUGCCAUUGACAAAAAACACAAUGAUAACUCCCGUUAAAUGAAAAUCCACACCAUUGAUCAUAAUCUACAAAGUCUACAUUGCUUAAAAACCAUAAAUCAUGUUCUAGAGGUCUUUUGUGUGCAUGCAUGAUGUGGAUGCAAAAUGGACAAUUUUAAUGAUAUGAUAGCAUUAUUUGAUUUCAUCUAUGGUUUAGAAUUAUCUAAAUCAAUAAAAUUUUGUUAACAUGUAUUUUAAAAUGUGUAUAUCAAGAUAAAUUGUUUGGAUUCUUAGGUUAUAUGCCCUAUAAUGUGCCUCAUCUUACCAUCUAUAUUGGGCCAUCCAUUUUUUGUUCACUUGAUGCAUAACAUGAUUUUUGGUUUCUAGAGGAUUUAAACAUUACAGAUUAUGAUUAAAUGUAUGGAUCUUGUUUUGACAACCACCACUGAAUUUGCUUUGAUAGUACUUGGACAGAAAUAUUAUCAAUAGUGUUCUAGCUUUGAGAUAUACAUAUGAUGGAGGUAGAGUUUUGAGGCAAUUUUUGUCAUUGGUGACCAACUUGGCUAUAAAUAAGCCUCUGGGUAUGUAGGUGACAUUUGACGAAACCAUCACAUGCACAUAUAUGUAAAUGUGUGGAAUAGGCAUAAAAUUUCACAUGUGUAUAGAUAUAUAUGUUUCUAUAAAAUCAUCACACGCGUCAAUUAUGUGUGCUUGUGAAGUGUCAACAUGCACGUGUUUAUGCUUCUAUUUAGUAUUAUAUGAAAAAUAAUGUUUAUAUAAAAUACUAUUUAUAAUUUUGUAAAUUCAUUUAUGAAUGAUGCAUAAAUGUGAAUGAGAGAGUGAGAUACAUCAAAUUGAACCCAAAGGGAAAAUAAAACAAACAAUCUUUAAAUGUUCCAUUAAAGCCCUAGACCUUAGUUCUAGCCUCCAGCAAGAUGGACAAUAGAAGAAGCUCAGAAAUCUCAUCCUCUUGUGCUAAGACUGAUAUAUGUUAGUACUUGUAUUAUGCUUUAUUUACACAUUCAAUGUAAAUUUUAAUUGUAAGAUCACUAUGUAGAAAUGUAGCUGAACUAAAUACCAAUCAAGUGACUUGCACUCUGUUGGAUGGGUUACCUCCUUGAUGCCUUGGCAAUCAUGUGGGUAAUAAACUAGGUCUAUUGCUUGGGGUCACCUAGGCUUUUUAGUAUGGUUUGGGUGUGUCCUUCCAAUGGAAUUGAUGUUUGUACUGCUUUAAAGUCAGUAUGGAAAAUUUAAAUACAAAAUUCAGACUGUUAAGCAAGGUCUACAAUAUCUAAAAAUUCCCUGACACCAAAACCAGAAAUUCUUGAUAUCUUGCACUUAUGCAUUAAGUGGUAUAAAAAAUAUAUUUAAUGGCAUACCACAAUACCAUGAUAUAUUUUGAUUUAGAAGCAUUCAAACCAGUCUAGGUUUGUUUUAUGUGUGUUUUAAAUAGUCUAUAUUAAGCUCAAUGAUUUUGAUAUUUUAGCAUUUGAACUCUGCCAACAUUGUCCAUUUGAUGCAUGGGUAAGAGACCUCCAAAGUCCAGAACACAUGUAUUUUUUUUGCUUUAUGGAUUUUGAUAUCGUUGAUGAUGAUCAAUAGUCUGGAUCUACAAUUUUGAAAAGUUGCUAUUGGUUCUACAUUAAUGACAUUCUGGUUUCAAUGGUUUAGAAAGGAUACCUUUUCCAAUCUCUCAUCUUUCUUGCACCUCUCUCUCAUCAUGCAUGCGCACACACACAGGGGAUAUGUGACAGAAAUACAAAAUAUAGUGCUUUUUAUAUCAGGAAUUUAUCUAUUUUUUGAAAAUAUAUCUCCCAUCCAUUUAGGCAAAUAUUUUCCAAAAAGAUAUAAUUCUCUAUUUCCUUAUAUAGAAAGCACUAUAGUUUUCUUUCUGUUACAUCCCUUGUGUGUGCGCACAUGUAUAUGAGAAUAAACUGUUCAUCUCUUUGCCUUGCUGGUUGAUUUGAAACCCAAAUUUUUGAUUUACGGAUUUAAUGAUGUUGAUCAGACUUAUGACAAUGGGAUUGCUUGUGUUUUGCUUUGUUGUAUUUCUUCUAUGAUCCAUUCAUUGUAAACAAAAGCUAUUUAGCUAUCACGUGCAGUAAAAGGUUAAGGCAAGUGAUUGAAAUAUUAGAAGUCUAUGACCUAGCUAUUCGUGGUGGUAAUGCAGGGACUAUUUAAUUGCACCCAUGAAGUCUUAACGUGUCUCAAUUUAUUGCUUAGAUAUGGACCUGUGUAGGUUCACUAGAAUAAUUUUCCAUACAGGAUGACUAAUCAGUUUUGAUGGUUUGAUGCAGGGGAUGUCAUCUCUGAAGGAAAGUUGGUGAUUGAUGUCAAGUAUUUAUGGUUUCAUGUAUAUCAGGAAACUCAUGACCUUUGCAGUGAGACAUCAUGCCCAGUCUCAGCCGGUGCGUUUGAGCUAUCCCACAAGCAGACACUUCCUAUGGUUACACCACCGGUAAGAUGCUGUAGUGUUUUUUCUACAUAUGUGCACAUUCAAUUAAAACCACUGAAGUUCGCUUAAAUUAUUCAAUUUUCUACAAUUCACAAGAUUCUUGAGAGAAAUGUGUUUGGCUAUAACUAGUCUUGAACCUUCUAUAUUUUAGGAAAUAUUUGCCCAUACAGAUCUGUUUGAAGAAAAACAUAGGAAACAAUCUCUUAUCACCAUGAUGCCAUGGCUUUUAUGGAUGGCUGUAUAAUGCUAAUUGAGACCUCUUUAUUGGUUCAUUUGUAGCCUGAUCACAUUUUGUAACUGUAUAUAUGGAAUUUGGUGCAGUCAGGGACUUCAUCUCCAUAAUGGUUGCAUAGCCACAUAUGCAGCCACAUACUGCUUUAUGAAACAACAUUUUGCUUGCUGAAUGCUGACCGAAGUCCCUGACUUCAGAUAGACAAGGUUGUCAAUGUGACUAGGCAGUCCCUAAUUGAUAGAGACCCUAAAUGCCUAAGCGCCACCUAGUGACUUUGGCAGUCUAUCUUUUAGAAGGGCAAAAACAUACACAAAAGGCUAAAAAUAAUACAAUCAACUUCAUUCUUCUCUCAAAUCAUGCAAACAAAAUGUCAAAUUCACCUUUAUAGCAUGGUAGGAGUUGAGAUUAAUCAAAACAAUGGUAUGAUUUUGUCACAUAUUAAUCAGCUGUCAAGUAUGGUAGUGAUAAUGAUAUUACCAAGCAUUGAGAUACUGUAUUGACUCUUGGGAUGGUGAUGUGUAUCAGUUCUUUGCCGGUAUUCGAACUUGAGGUUUUCUGUUUUGUGUUCUUUUUGGGUGUUUUUCACAUGUAUUAUCAAUACUAAGUCAAUUUUGUUGAUGUGAGAUAUGGAUAUUGAUUGAAUUGAAGUUCAUCUAAUUGCCUAUUGUAUUGAUUUGAUUGACAUUUUUUUUGCUUUGUAGCACAAUCAACUAUGCAGAGAAAUACCUCUAGCAUAAGGAAUGAAUUUCUAUCACUCAUGGAAAAAAUGUAUGACUAUUUAAAGUUUUUAGCCAGAUGGAUGUAGAGUUUAGAGGAUUUGCAGUCAGGAACUUUGGCAACUAAAUAUUUGUUUUUUGGUCAAAAGACCUAUGGAUUUUCUAUUCGAGUCGGCAUUAGUUUUUACUAAGUGGAUGAGAGGAAAAACAUGUUAUGGAUAUGCUCUAAGUCCUUACCUUUUUGUGCUAGUUAUGGAUAAGGUUACCAAGUAUAUUCAAGGUGAUAUUUCUUAGAGCAUGCUACUUGCGGAUGGUAUAGUCCUAGUUAAGUAGGACUAAGAUGAAGAUGAAUACAUGGAAUGUAGUUUAGAAAAAUUAGAAAUGGAGAUGAAGAUGGAGCGAAAAUUGAGGAUCGUGAGUUCCUAAGGGUGAUUUCUUUUCUGGUACUUAGGAUCGAUUAUUCAUAGGGAAGAGGAAAUGAAGAGGAUGCUAUCCAUAGGAUUAAAGCAAGCUGGAUAAAAUGGAGAAAUGCAACUAGGAUAUUAUAUGAUUGUAGGAUUUCUGUCAAGUUGAUGGGAAGGAUGACCUAGAUGGUUUAGACAUGUACAAUGUAGGGGAUGUACCAGUAUGAAUGAGUGAUUUGAUACAUGUAGAAGGAAAGAUGGUUAGAGGUAGACCAAAAGUCACAUGGGUUGUAGUAGUAAGGAAGAAUGUAAUAUGUCUACAUCUUUCAGAAAUUAUGGUCCCAAAUAAAGUGGAAUGGAAGAAAAGGAUUUAUGUACCCGACUUUAACUAGUUUGGGAUUAAGGCUUGGUUGAGUUGAGAUGAUGUUAGUUUUCACUAGAUUUCCAUGUUUUUGUGGUUGAAUAAUUUUAGCAUGUUUCUUUCAUUAUUGAGUUUGAUAAUUUUAUGUCUCGUAUAAUUUUCUACUGGGUUUGAUGCCUUUGGUUUAUCUUUUAGACUUCACUCUAGGUUGGCUGACAUGGCUUUCAUCAUUUUGUGAAAAAAAAUUGCCAUCUUGAUUGGGAUGCGCUUGGUACCAUCCUAACUAGUCUUUGCACUAGCUCAUAUUGGUCUAGAUUGAUGUGGGCAUCCUAUUGAGUUUAAUGUUCGGUUGAUUUAUCUUUUGUACUUUACUCUGGGUUGGCAAUAUGGCCCUCCAUCCUUUUCUUUUUUUGUUGAUUCAAGAAAAAAUCCAUCGCGAAUGGGAUGGGCUUGGUACUGACAGAACCAACCAUGGCACCGGCUUGUACCUGUCAGAACUGAUUAGAAUGGUUGGUUCAUCCUGUUCCCGUUCUUUGAAAACAUCAAAAAAAUUGCUGUCCCAAUCAGGAAGGUUUCAUAUUGGGCUGUAUUGCCUUUGGUACUGGUUGGUAUAGAUUAGAUGGCCAAUACAUCCUGAUUUUGCUUGUUUUGACAACAGAACAGCCAUCCUAGUGUUGUUCUCAUGUCGAAAAUCUACAUUAUUUAUGGUACUAUUCCAUUUCGAUAGUACUUAAAUCCAUGGAUAUCACAUCAUUAAAAGCUAAAUCUGAAAAGUAAAAAUUUGACAAGUCCUUGAAAAAAAAAAAAAUCUAAAGCUUAUAAGUCAUAACUGAAAUCUCAUAUUUGCAAUAAAAAUAGCAACUAGAAGAAAAAUGGAGAAAAAAUAGAAAAUAUAAAAAAAUAUGGAUGAAAGGGUAGAAAAGAGGAGGAAGAAGAGAAAAAAAGAUCUCCCUGAAUGAGAAGAGAGAGGAAGAGUAAUAUGAGAAGUAAAAAGGAAAAAGAAAAGGAAAAGAGUAAGCAUGAAAAGAAUUUAAAUAAAAAAAAUUAGGGUCCUCGUAGUUAUUGACUACCUCUUGGAGUGUCGCUAAGCUCCACGAAGCUUCUAGCAAAAUUGUGUCAAAAUGAGUACUACAUUGUGUUAGUUGAACUUCUAGCAUAACUAAAAUUAAUUUAUUUCAGUCGCAAUAGUGAAAAUAAAAUAAAGCAAUAAAGUACACAACAAAAAGAAAUGAAGUGUGUGUCCUUUAGUGUAAGAGUGCCUAGUCAGUCAUCUAGGCAGUCUAGACGCUCUCUAAUUGCCUAGGUGGACCACCGAAGUGCCUAUGCGGCGCUUUUGACUAGAUGGCAGAUAGAAUCAUGAAACUAAUUCAUAUAAUGUUCGGUUGGCUAGGACUACUAAAAUAUGAUACUAUGUAAAUUAGUGAAAAAACCUUGGAAGAUAAAUUAUUCCUGGUUGCUGUCCAUUUUUUUAAAACCUGAAAGCAUAUUCAACUUUUCAUAUUUAACAUAUCAGUAAAUUAUCUUCAAAUAAAUUAUAUGAACUAGAAAAUGUAUAACCCAAAUUUUUAACUUACGAGACAUCUUUUGUGGCCAUUGUUGAAAGGUGGCAGUUGGUUUCAAGGUUCUCAUGAGUUUUGUUUCUUGCUUGAUGUACUAAAGAUGCAUCUAAAUGUUUGCGCAUGCUCUCUAUUUGACUCUGUUAAAACCGGCAUCUUUUAAAUGAUUUUCAAGUCUUCAGCGUAAAUUUUCUUUUCGCAUUGCUUCUAUGUUAAUGUGACAUGGGAUAGCUAUCUAAAUUGUUUAAUAGCACAUCACUGGGGUGAGGUUCAAGUCUUUGUCGUCUUUUAUCUUGCCUUAUGUUUUUCUCCCGUCAUCCUUUGUGUCCUUGUGGUUUUACCAUAUCCUAAGCACAGAUAGAGAAUUGGAAUUGGAAGAGCAGUAACUGGAGGAUCAUUUUUGCCCCCAUAAAAAAAAAAAAAUGUGGGAAUCAUUUUAGUAAUGCUAUUUUAAACUUUUGGAUAAUGUGUUCUUUUUGCAGGGAUGGUACACACUUACAAUGACAAUGAUGGAAGAAGAUGGGAAGCCACUGACAUGCAUCACCUUCGAUUUCAGCAUCGGAUUCAUGUCAUCUGUUGCUGAUAGCUGAACGGGGUCUAAAUAUAGCUGUCCAUAGUAUAAUAUGUUAUGCUUAGCCUGUGGUUCUUUGACAUCACAGAACUGGAAAGACUUUUAGAACCUUAUGAUAUCCAUCUUGUAUGACCGCUAUCUGCAUUGGUGUGAAUGCUGCACAUUACAAAGGGAACAUGAAUCAAAACAGUUUGGAUGUUAGUUCUUCUGUUCAAAUCAUUUUCUUUUCGGUACUGAAGGCACUUGAAGGUGUUGAAGAGUUUAUCGUAAAUACAUGCUCGUUGAUCCAAACCACAGAGCAUGCCAUUAUACGUGCCUACAUCCAGUUAUCUGCUUGAGUAGAGCUGGAGAAUGUAUAAUAUUUUUACAUGGAGGAGGCCUUUCUAAUAAAUGGCUUACAGGAAAGAUCGACAUCUUGUGUACUCUUAUAAUCUUCAUUCUGCCACUGAAGGGAGCAUGUUUAACAAAUGUAGUUGACGGAAAUAUGACUGGAUUGCAGUUGGUGCAUGCAAACAGAAAGAACCUAAAGUUGGAUACCAGAAACUCAGAUAAUAUGGAUAAGCUAAUGAAAAGAGCAAUCCAUCAUUUACUAGAAUAUUGUAGGCUCUAUUAAGCGUGCACAUCAAAAGACUUAAAAGUAGCCUUCUAAGUAAAAUUUCCUUCCUCUUGCUUCUGCAUUCUUCUAUUUUCUUCGAGAGAAGACCAUUAUUUUCCUUACAGAUUGUUUUUUUUUCAAAUAAAUCCAGAUUUCUCUCGGACCUGGUAGCUACGGGGAGGUAAACAUGUCAUUUCCUUUUCCUAUAUCACAGCUGCUCCAACAAUCUCAACAGCUUAUUUUUGGGGAAUGAGCAUUGUUCCAUUUGGGUUUAAAUAAGGCAGGCAUCAUCCAACAGGCGGUGGCAUGUUUAAUUCAAGACAACAUAUUACUUCAGGCUGGGUACACAGUUUCCUUGAAAGGAAAACAAAUGCUGAUCGCUAUUAAAUACAUGAACUGCAUUCAAUCUCUAGAAAUAAAACAGCAGCUCAAAAACUUGUAUCAAUAUCAUAUGCACAAACAAGAUUUUAACCAAGAUGUCUUCUUAACGGAUAUUCUACCUCUUACAUCAAUAAGUGACACACAUGCAAUUGAUUGGCUAGAAAGAAUGAUGGUAAGUAUUUCAGCAUCAAUUGGUUUUUCCAUUCAGGCUUUUCUUCCUUCUCACCUUCCUUUGGCACUGCUGCAGCUAGAUCAACCUUACUGCUUUCUUCUAAUCCUCAGUUCUCUUGAACAUUUUCUGUGACUUCAUCCUGUGGAGCUUGUUCGAUGCUCCCUCUUCACUGCAGUUUCUAUAGAAACAACCUCUUCUUGGGACUUGUCUUUGCACUUUCCUUUCUUAUCAAAUGCACAUGCAGCUUCAACUGUUGCAACCUCUGUUGCAGGAGCUUCAUCUGCAGCAUCAUUAUCUUUAUUUUAUUUCCUCUUUUCUUUGAGCUUGAUUUUCUUUCUCCUUUUUUUUUCAGCUUUUUGCCUUGAGGGGUCUCUGUUGCCUUUGCCUUUUCAGUACUAAUUCUCGCAGAGCGCUCGGGGAUCACCUGUUUGAAAUCCAUGUCCGAAAAGAAGUGAAAAGAAGAACGACAUUUGCAAGAAUAUCUAUGCAAAGCUUGUGCAUAUGCGUGGAAGAGGUGGGGGACAAGGUGGCAACCAAGUAUGAGAGAGAGAGAGAGAGAGAGAGAGAGAGAGAGAGAGACCGGUUCCUCAGUCAAUUCUAGAUGACGAUGGAUUUCCAAGAUGUGAACGUAAAUAAAUGUCCAAUUGUUUUGCGUUUCUGCGCGGCAUUCCACCCUUCUCAGGCAUGAACUACGGAAACAGGAAAAGAUGAAUUAUGUUAGGCUUAAUUACUAAAAAAAAUUCUUUACUUUUGUGCCCUUUUCAAUUUUAGCACAUCAUUUUAAUUUUUGCAAUUGGAUAUGUAUACUUUAUAAAAUGUUAGUCUACCAUCAAUAACAUAAAAAAUAAAGCAAUGAGAUGAAAAUGAAAUGGAACAAAUCAAGUUAAAUUAGAAAUAAAAAGCUCUUUUUUCAACCUAAAUCUUUCCCCUCCUCUCCGUCCUUCCUCUCCAUCUCCCCCUUCUAACUCUUUCCACCUCCUCUCCCCUUCCUCCAAAUCCCUCGCGGUCUCAUCCUUCCUUGCUGCUAGCUUACUGUGAAGUGACCAUCCUACCACUUGCCCUAGCCUUCACCUAAGAUGGAUUGGACUUUAUAUCGAUUAAUCUUCCUAAAGCAGAAUUCUAAUGGAUGGUUUGUUGAUCCAUCACUACUGACCCUCCAUGAGCUGCCAAACAGCUCAAAGCUCGCAACUUGGUGUUAGAUUUUUAGUUGUCAUAGUCAAGCUUCCUUCAAGAAGUGAAGAAUGGGGAAUGGCCAACCCUAGCCUUAUUUUUUUUGGUAGCCUUGUUCAGAAGUUCUAUAGAAGCCUUAAAAGAGGAUCAGGUGGUGUGGAGGCUAUAGUGAGGGGCACUUGGAUUGUGCUUACAGAGUAAAGAUUUGCCCGCAUUCUUUGGUCACCAUGAUAGAGCAUGACACCGAUCAAACUAUCAGAUAAAGCUGCAGCACUGAGAGUAGUUUUGGAGAUUGAGGUUGUGGAUGUUAUGGAGGAGCUCUUCAUGAACUAGUUAUAUGUGGAGAUGUAUUUACUUCAUCACAUCAUCAGGAGGAUCCUGUUCUCGAAGAUUGGGUGCUUCGACUUUGUUUCUGAGAGAGAUCUGAUUGUGAUGCAGCAUGUUCUUUAGAGCAUCCCUCUGAACCUGCCUGCAUUGGUAUUCCCACAAAUGAGAGAGUUAGUAGGGAGAGCGAAGGUUUGCCUACUUUGUUGACCCUCAUCCUCAUCUUCAGGAAGUUUGGUGUACCACUUAAGGAGGAGAUUGGCCGAGUCCUCAUACAUUCAAAUACCUACAAUGAGUGGUCGCUACAUCAUAUGGGCUACCGCAGGUUAGAAGGUAGAUGGGUUUGGAGAAACUCAAGACAGGAUAGACUAAGGGACGAGACUGGGCCGAGCGGAGUAUAGCUAGAGUUAGAGCUCGAGUCUCCUCUACUAGCAGUAGAGCCCCAGACACCUUUAGCUGUAGCACCUCCAGCAUCGACACCUCUUGUCACACCACUUGGAGAUUCUUGGCUGGUUCAUCCCUCUUUUGUAUUGUUAGAUGAAGAUCAGAUGAGGAGGAUAGCAAAGAUGGUUCUCAAUGGACCGAGGACAGAGUGGGAAUACCUAGUGGCUUCUCAAAUGGACAUGUCACAUAUCUCCUCCAUCGUGUAGAUAGAGCUUCAUGGUUUGAGGAGUGACAUGGCCACCAAACCAGAGGAGCAUGAAGAUAUGUCUGCACUAUCUCAAGAGGCUACUCACUUUAGGGAGAGGAUAGAGGCUAGAGUUGGAUAGAUUCAGAUUGAGGUCAGGGAGCUUGGGGCCUCUCAGUACUUAGGAAUCUUCUCUAUGUUGACUUUGAUAGGAUGCUUGGUUGAGCAGUUCGAGAGCAUCACCCCUGGUGCUGCCACAGUAGCAGCUAGAGGUCAUGGUUGUCUGGCUUCAGCAUCUUCAUCCCAAUAGAGCCAACCAACCCAUUGUGCUCAGCCUUUCCAGUCCUCUCAGACCUCCCAGACAUCCCAGCUUACUCCUAGACCACCUUUUAGAAUCUGCACUAGAUCGGAUGUAGGUUUUUCUAUUCGUGCUACCACACCCUCUAGUAGGACUUGGAGCAAGAGAUGUACAGCCUCAUCUUCCAGAGCAUGCUCUCCUUCAUCCAUAGAUCUUCCCUUAGAUGAGGAUUAGAUUUAGGAUCUCUUAGUAUCUUUAGGUGGCUCACUUUGUAUUUUACUUUAUAUUGUUAUAUCAUAUAAUAUUCUUAUUAUGUCUUCAUGAUUGUAUCUUGGUGUACCGUAAUGAACUUCUUUUUAUAUAUAGUACAUUCAUUUUGCUUGAUACUCAUGUAAUGAUACCUAUUUAUGCAAUGAAAAGAAAUUUUUUUUAAUAUGUCGUGUGAUUUUCAGUGCAAUAUCUUUUUGCUUGAUGACAAAAAAUGGGGAGAGAAAUGGAGGAUUGUUGAAGCAAAUAAUUAAUAUGCAUAAGCAGACUACUGAAACCCAUUAAGCACUUGACUAAUGCGUAAUCACCCUCAUAAUCUCUUUCAUAUGAAACUCUGAAAUAUUAUUAAUUAUAAUAUUAAUUCCUAGGUCUAAUACAACCUUCAGAACCUUGAGCUCUUCCUGGAUCUGAUACAUUAACUCUGAUAUAACCUUCAAAACUUUUAGCUCUGAUACUUCCUUGUUAGCUCAAAAUUAUCAUUGCUUCUGAUAGAUUAUUGUUGCCUAGAUGUAGACAACCCAAGAGGGAGAGUAAAUUGAGUUUUUUCAAAAUUUUUUAUAAUUUUAAAACAAGUAUGUUCUCAAUUAAGAUAAAUUAAGUAAGUACGUAGUGGAAGCAAUAAAUCAAAAUAAGAAAUAUACUGAAGUAAAUAAGAGCAAAAUAAGAAUAAGCAAGAGCAUAUAUAAAUACAAAUUUUAUAGUGAUUCGGUGUCAAACUCAAUACCUAUAUCUACUCCUCAAGUCUCCUUACUCAAAAAUUUUACUAUAAUCUUCUUGAUUACAGUAUAUUAUUUUAACUGAGCUCACAAUCAAUCCUACUGAUUGUUUUAGGGGGCUCACAAUCAAUUUAGUUGAUUUUACAAAGAAAAUUAAUCAAAAUCUUUCCAGCUUAGUCACCCCUAGCUUAGUUAAUACAACGUUAAAUUAUGGGCGUGGACAAGCCUAUCCCGUAAAUUUCUAUCAUAAAAAACUUACAAAGAAACAAGAUAUAUGAUAGAAAUUACAAAGAAUAAUUAAAAGUAUAAAAAAAAUAAAACUCAUUGAAGCUCGAUUGAAGUUGAUGAUGAAUGCUUUUUGAAGCUCAGACUUCUUCACUUGAAUAAAUGAGAGACUAUCUUAUGAUUUGUUGCCCAGCUAGACAACUCAAGAGGAGAGGAGGAUGAAUUGGGUUAUUAAAAUUUUUAGUAAAUUUAAAACCAAAUGUGUGUAGGCAGAAAUGUAAGUAUGCUAAAGGUGCAGUGACCUAAUGUACUAAAAGCAAAUGCAGAAGAGGAAUAAGAUCACACAUACAUAAACAUAUCAAAUUUAUAGUGAUUCGGUGUACCUCAAGCACCUACACCCACUCCCUCUUAAUAAGUGCUUCUUAUGAAGUGAUCUUCAUGUCAAAUUUUUUUAAAUAAACCUUUAAUGUUCAUAAUUUUAAUGUUCAUAAUUUUAAAAUUAAUAUGCUCAAUCAGUCCUUCUCUUUUUUGUCAACAUCAAAAAGAACAUUCAAAAGUAUAAACAAUACAUAUAUUUAGGAUAAACUGAAGUAAAUAUUCAUUACAUUCAUAUUGUAAACAUUCAUAUGUUUAUUUUGUUUACAAAAAGGUGCCAACCAAACAAUAUAACAUAAUUUCAGACAUUACAAACAUAAAAACAGUCAGAAAGUAAAGUCUAUGCCUAAAGAGUCUACUCCUCAUCAGAUGGAAACUCUAUGAUGGGUUCUAUUGGACCAGUGGAUGAGGAGGAGGGUACCGAUCUCUUGCUCCAGGUCUUUGCAAAGGGCCUGGGGCAAAUAGGAGGAAAUCAGUGCCAGGUCUAAUUGAGGCACUAAAGGAGGAUCUAACUGUAGAUGGGCGAUGCUGGCUGGGGAGGGUCUAGACUGGGUAGGAGGUGGUCGAACCAUGAGCUGACUGAUCUACGCCUUAAUUCUCUGAACAGCAGUAAUGAGAACCUCGGUGCUACCCUGCUGAGAAAUAAUAGUCUCCUAAACUCUCUUAGCAAUUCUGAUAGUCUGUGCAGUCAAAUGCUCAACCUCCAAAGUUGCACUCUGAGUCUUCUCUAAAAUUUCCAACCUUUAGGAUAAACUGCUGAUCUGCUGACUAAGAUGCUCAAACUAUCCCUCAAAGGAAACUCUAUGCUCAUCAAGAUCCUGAGUGAUGCGAUGCUGAAAAUUAGUAAACAAUUCUUCCAUUCUCUUCAUAAUUUUCUCCAUAACCUAUUCGAUAGCCCUUUCGGAGUUGAAACCAUGAUGCAUGAAGGAGAUGUGG
rnacentral:lncRNA from 1 species